rnacentral:rRNA from 1 species
UACGUAGGGGUGCAAGCGUUGUCCGGAAUUAUUGGGCGUAAAGAGCUCGUAGGCGGUCUGUUGCGUCCGCUGUGAAAACUCGGGGCUUAACCCCGAGCCUGCAGUGGAUACGGGCAGACUAGAGGUAGGUAGGGGAGAAUGGAAUUCCCGGUGUAGCGGUGAAAUGCGCAGAUAUCGGGAGGAACACCGGUGGCGAAGGCGGUUCUCUGGGCCUUACCUGACGCUGAGGAGCGAAAGCGUGGGGAGCGAACAGG